GUACUGNGAAACUGCGAAUGGCUCAUUAAAUCAGUUAUCGUCUAUUUGAUAGUACCUUACUACAUGGAUAACCGUGGUAAUUCUAGAGCUAAUACAUGCUACAAAGCCCGACUUCGGAAGGGUUGUAUUUAUUAGAUUAAAAACCAAUGCCCUCCGGGGCUCACUGGUGAUUCAUAAUAACUUCUCGAAUCGCACGGCCUUGCGCCGGCGAUGGUUCAUUCAAAUUUCUGCCCUAUCAACUUUCGACGGCUGGGUCUUGGCCAGCCGUGGUGACAACGGGUAACGGAGGGUUAGGGCUCGACCCCGGAGAAGGAGCCUGAGAAACGGCUACUACAUCCAAGGAAGGCAGCAGGCGCGCAAAUUACCCAAUCCCGACACGGGGAGGUAGUGACAAUAAAUACUGAUACAGGGCUCUUUUGGGUCUUGUAAUUGGAAUGAGUACAAUUUAAUUCCCUUAACGAGGAACAAUUGGAGGGCAAGUCUGGUGCCAGCAGCCGCGGUAAUUCCAGCUCCAAUAGCGUAUAUUAAAGUUGUUGCAGUUAAAAAGCUCGUAGUUGAACCUUGGGCCUGGCUGGCCGGUCCGCCUCACCGCGUGCACUGGUCCGGCCGGGCCUUUCCCUCUGGGGAGCCGCAUGCCCUUCACUGGGCGUGUCGGGGAACCAGGACGUUUACUUUGAAAAAAUUAGAGUGUUCAAAGCAGGCUUAUGCUCGAAUACAUUAGCAUGGAAUAAUGGAAUAGGACGCGUGGUUCUAUUUUGUUGGUUUCUAGGACCGCCGUAAUGAUUAAUAGGGACAGUCGGGGGCAUCAGUAUUCAGCUGUCAGAGGUGAAAUUCUUGGAUUUGCUGAAGACUAACUACUGCGAAAGCAUUUGCCAAGGAUGUUUUCAUUAAUCAGGAACGAAAGUUAGGGGAUCGAAGACGAUCAGAUACCGUCGUAGUCUUAACCAUAAACUAUGCCGACUAGGGAUCGGACGGUGUUAUUCUUUGACCCGUUCGGCACCUUACACGAAAGUACAAGUUUCUGGGC
rnacentral:rRNA from 1 species